GACAGUGAUGGCUGAAUGGUUAUGGCUCUGGGUUCCUGAUCAGAAGGUCAAGGGUUCAAGCCCCAGCACUGUCA